rnacentral:rRNA from 1 species
AUUGAACGCUGGCGGCAUGCCUAACACAUGCAAGUCGCACGAGUGGCGGACGGGUGAGUAAUGUCUGGGAAACUGCCCGCUGGAGGGGGAUAACUACUGGAAACGGUCGCUAAUACCGCCUACCAUCGGAUGUGCCCAGAUGGGAUUAGCUCGUAGGUGGGGUAACGGCUCACCUAGGCAACGCUCCCUAGCUGGUCUGAGAGGAUGACCAGCCACACUGGAACUGAGACACGGGCCAGACUCCUACGGGAGGCAGCAGUGGGGAAUAUUGGACAAUGGGGGAAAGCCUGAUGCAGCCAUGCCGCGUGUAUGAGGAAGGCCUUCGGGUUGUAAAGUACUUUCAGCGAGGAGGCGUUACUCGCAGAAGAAGCACCGGCUAACUACGUGCCAGCAGCCGCGGUAAUAC